GACGAGUCUCACAAACGUUAUUCGGAAUUACUGGGCUUAAAGGGUGCGUAGGCGGUGGGGUAAGUCGGGUGUGAAAUACCAUAGCUUAACUAUGGAACUGCACUCGAUACUACUUCACUAGAGUAAGACAGAGGUGAGUGGAACUGAGGGUGGAGCGGUGAAAUGCGUUGAUAUCCUCAGGAACACCAGUGGCGAAGGCAACUCACUGGGUCUUUACUGACACUGAUGCACGAAAGCUAGGGUAGCAAACGGG
rnacentral:rRNA from 1 species